rnacentral:tRNA from 1 species
CGGGGUGUAGCUCAGCCUGGUAGAGCACGGGUUUUGGGAGCCCGACGUCGCUGGUUCGAAUCCAGUCACCCCGA